GGGCUAGCGUUGCUCGGAAUUACUGGGCGUAAAGGGCGUGUAGGCGGAUAGUUCAGUCAGAGGUGAAAGCCCAGGGCUCAACCUUGGAAUUGCCUUUGAUACUGGCUGUCUUGAGUAUGGGAGAGGUUAGCGGAACUCCGAGUGUAGAGGUGAAAUUCGUAGAUAUUCGGAAGAACACCAGUGGCGAAGGCGGCUAACUGGCCCAUUACUGACGCUGAGGCUCGAAAGCGUGGGGAGCAAACAGG
rnacentral:rRNA from 1 species